CUCCUCUCAGGAUAGCACCUAGAAAGCUUCCCGUACUCUACCAGUCUCAGCUACGGGAGGGAGAGUCAAGCAGAGGCCUACCCAUUCCAUUCCUAGCUUGGUCAGUGGCUAGCCAGUGGAAGGCAAUCUGCUACAAGU